CAGCCCUUGACAUCCCGACCGCGGUUAGUGGAGACACUAUCCUUCAGUUAAGCUGGAUCGGUGACAGGUGCUGCAUGGCUGUCGUCAGCUCGUGUCGUGUGAUGUUGGGUUAAGUCCCGCAACGAGCGCAACCCUCGCCCUUAGUUGCCAUCAUUAAGUUGGGCACUCUAAGGGGACUGCCGGUGAUAAGCCGCGAGGAAGGUGGGGAUGACGUCAAGUCCUCAUGGCCCUUACGGCCUGGGCCACACACGUGCUACAAUGGCGGUGACAAUGGGCAGCAAACCCGCAAGGGGGAGCUAAUCUCAAAAAGCCGUCUCAGUUCGGAUUGGAGUCUGCAACUCGACUCCAUGAAGUUGGAAUCGCUAGUAAUCGUGGAUCAGCACGCCGCGGUGAAUACGUUCCC
rnacentral:rRNA from 1 species